AUUGAACGCUGGCGGCAGGCCUAACACAUGCAAGUCGAGCGGAUGAAGGGAGCUGGCUCCUGGAUUCAGCGGCGGACGGGUGAGUAAUGCCUAGGAAUCUGCCUGGUAGUGGGGGAUAACGUCCGGAAACGGGCGCUAAUACCGCAUACGUCCUGUGGGAGAAAGUGGGGGAUCUUCGGACCUCACGCUAUCAGAUGAGCCUAGGUCGGAUUAGCUAGUUGGUGGGGUAAAGGCCUACCAAGGCGACGAUCCGUAACUGGUCUGAGAGGAUGAUCAGUCACACUGGAACUGAGACACGGUCCAGACUCCUACGGGAGGCAGCAGUGGGGAAUAUUGGACAAUGGGCGAAAGCCUGAUCCAGCCAUGCCGCGUGUGUGAAGAAGGUCUUCGGAUUGUAAAGCACUUUAAGUUGGGAGGAAGGGAAGUAAGUUAAUACCUUGCUGUUUUGACGUUACCAACAGAAUAAGCACCGGCUAACUUCGUG
rnacentral:rRNA from 1 species